CUCCUACGGGAGGCAGCAGUGGGGAAUAUUGCACAAUGGGCGGAAGCCUGAUGCAGCAACGCCGCGUGCGGGAUGACGGCCUUCGGGUUGUAAACCGCUUUCGCCUGUGACGAAGCGUGAGUGACGGUAAUGGGUAAAGAAGCACCGGCUAACUACGUGCCAGCAGCCGCGGUGAUACGUAGGGUGCGAGCGUUGUCCGGAUUUAUUGGGCGUAAAGGGCUCGUAGGUGGUUGAUCGCGUCGGAAGUGUAAUCUUGGGGCUUAACCCUGAGCGUGCUUUCGAUACGGGUUGACUUGAGGAAGGUAGGGGAGAAUGGAAUUCCUGGUGGAGCGGUGGAAUGCGCAGAUAUCAGGAGGAACACCAGUGGCGAAGGCGGUUCUCUGGGCCUUUCCUGACGCUGAGGAGCGAAAGCGUGGGGAGCGAACAGGCUUAGAUACCCUGGUAGUCCACGCUGUAAACGGUGGGUACUAGGUGUGGGGUCCAUUCCACGGGUUCCGCGCCGUAGCUAACGCUUUAAGUACCCCGCCUGGGGAGUACGGCCGCAAGGCUAAAACUCAAAGGAAUUGACGGGGGCCCGCACAAGCGGUGGAGCAUGUGGUUUAAUUCGAUGCAACGCGAAGAACCUUACCUACUCUUGACAUCCAGAGAACUUAGCAGAGAUGCUUUGGUGCCUUCGGGAACUCUGAGACAGGUGCUGCAUGGCUGUCGUCAGCUCGUGUUGUGAAAUGUUGGGUUAAGUCCCGCAACGAGCGCAACCCUUAUCCUUUGUUGCCAGCGGUUAGGCCGGGAACUCAAAGGAGACUGCCAGUGAUAAACUGGGAGGAAGGUGGGGAUGACGUCAAGUCAUCAUGGCCCUUACGAGUAGGGCUACACACGUGCUACAAUGGCGCAUACAAAGAGAAGCGACCUCGCGAGAGCAAGCGGACCUCAUAAAGUGCGUCGUAGUCCGGAUUGGAGUCUGCAACUCGACUCCAUGAAGUCGGAAUCGCUAGUAAUCGUAGAUCAGAAUGCUACGGUGAAUACGUUCCCGGGCCUUGUACACACCGCCCGU
rnacentral:rRNA from 1 species